UCAGUAUGAUAAAUCACCAUUUACAUUUGUUGCUUGGACGCUUAGAAAAUGCGAAAUCUUUUAAGGUAAAAAAGAUAUGUUGAGUGAGAAACUCCACUCGACUUUCGUGAACGACUGCAUUUUGCAAUUAAAAUGAAUUGGGUUGGAUAAACGAGUUGCUCGCAAGGUGUUUGAUGAAAUGCCAUGCCAGAGUUUUAUUUUAUUUUAUUAGAUAAUCCAAAAAUGACUAUUGUAGUACUCUCUCUGUUUAACAUUUUCUUAACAUGUAGUCAUGUACUCACCCAAUUGUUGUUGUUUGUCUCCUUCUCCUCCUCCUUCAGGUUUUGAGAGUUCAACUGGAACCAUGAAACCUCAACAACUUUUUCUUUCCUCAACUUUGAAACUGUUCAAACGAAGGCCAUACAAUUCUCGCCAAGGACUGCACUGGAGCACUAGUGGUUAUCAUCAACAAUCUAGAAAAGCUAUUAACUUUUCGGCGUUGUUUGCAAUCCCUCUACCUCAUUUUUCGAAAAGAAUCAACAGAAAGAUAAUAGAGAGUGAUUGUCAAGCCAAGCGUCUUCUUUCAGGUUCUCAAACGAUAACAGAAGUAUCACAUGAGUGUCCCCCUGAAAGUGAUCUUUUUUCCUUCAUUAACUUCACUUUAAAUGAGCUUGAAGGUCCCUAUCAUUGUUGGUUGAAUUUUGGUGAAAGCAAGGAUUCCUUCAAGAGAGUUGGAACCUUCUUGGUUGUUGCUGGACAGUUUCUUGACAAUUCAAUAAUUGACUCAAACUCUCUCUCUAUGCUUUUAAAAGUAAAGUCACUCCAGCAAAGGUUCCCUCAGCUUCAUAUUAUGGGUCUUCAGUGUGGCAGUUCAGUUUGCUCUCCUAUUGAUCAAAGUCACCUAGUCCAACUGAUAAUGAAGGAAUACAUCACAUUUCCAAUUUUAUUGUCUAACAAGACAUUUCCUGAGGUGGCAAAUGCUGCAUGUUAUAUUCUAUUUAAAGAUUCUAGGAGUAAAGUCAUUUACCAUGAGAAGGGCCUAGAUCUUGGAAUUCUUAACAAAGCUGUUGAGGAGUUUGGUGUGCAACCUGAUGAGUCUAGGUUUGUCCACAACUUGAAAAGCACUUGGUUUAAGAAAGCUGAGAUCACUAAGGAACCGUAUUUAUGUUCUUUGCGGAAUUUGCUUCUGUACUUCCCAGAUUGCAUCUCUGCAGAUGAAAGCAGCAAUCGUCUCUUCCUUUCAGACAGCAAUCAUCAUCGAAUAAUCAUAAUAAAUGGCAACGGAAAGAUUUUGGAUUGUAUUGGUUCUUCCCCUGGUUUUGAGGAUGGAGCAUUUGAGUCUGCGAAGUUGGUCCGUCCAGCAGCUUCAUUUUAUCAUGCUGUAGAUGAUUGCCUAUAUUUUGUGGAUUCAGAGAACCAUGCCAUCAGGAGAGCUGAUAUGGGAAAGAGAAUUUUAGAGACUCUCUAUCCAACAAGCAACAUUUAUAAAAAGAGUAAUGGUUUAUGGACCUGGAUCAUGAACAAGCUGGGACUAGGAAGAAGUGACGAUACAAAAUCUGAAGAUUUGGAUUCUGAAUCUUUGAUGUUCCCUUGGCAUCUGAUGAAAUCAAAGGAUGAUACUUUAAUAAUCAUAAACCGCAGCUUUGAAACUCUUUGGAUCAUGGAUAUGACUUCAGGAGAUAUAGAAGUUGUAAAAGGAUUUCCAAAGAUUUUGGAAACCUGUGGACAGUGGAUCAUGGAGAAAGUGUCCCUUUUGAAACGGAUUCCAUUUGAUUGGUUGCAACCACAGUUUGAAGCUUCCUGUUCACAAGAGGAGCUUUCAUAUGCUCGUCUCAUGUCUUCAUUAACAACCUUGCAGAAUCACAUAUUCAUUUGUGACACAGUUGGACAGAGGAUUCUGAAAGUUGAUGGAGAUUCUGGUGUCUUUUCAAACCUCCAAUUUUCAAAUUUUGGGAUCCUUGGUUUACCUUAUUGGUUGUCUUCCCCUUUAGAGAGAGUUUAUGCUGUUAAUUAUGGACUUUGUGGAGCACAGAUUGAUCAGCUUCAAUGUUUCAGAUUGCUGCCAGGUAGGAUUGAUAUUCAGUUAAAUGUGGAUAUCCCUGUGGAUACUGAGCUUGUAGAACCAUUACAAGACGGAUGUAUAUGGCACCAGGCAAGAGGAGCUGCUACUGAAGUCUCAGCAGUAGAGGAUGUUGCUGGAUCAUCUGAGAAGGUUGGUGUUGCCCAACAGUGGUAUGACGAGUUGGAUAGUCUUGCCUUCUCUACACCUGAAACAGAACUGACUGUUGAAGAUGAUAAUAUAACUAAGGAUAAUAAAUUUCAAGAUGAAAGGGUUCACAUUAACUGUGCUGUUAAUACAAGUCCAGGAACAAGUGAGGUUAUUAUUUGUGCAGUGUUGUAUCUAAAACUAAGAAAAAACCCAGAUUUAGAAGAGGACAAUCAGGAGAAAUACGCAGCACGGAUAGUGGAUAUAUUGAAACCAGAGAGAACUGUAAGAACAGGAGGAGAGUCGUGCAUUCACUUGUUAAAAUCAAACAAGGAUUUGAGAGACCUCAUUUUCAUGAAACCCCUGCAUGUGAGGAUAAAAUUUGAUAGUCCUGAUCACCCAAAAGCUGAUAAUUCAAAAGAUAUAAUAUUAACGGACUCCUCCGUUGAGGUCAAUGUGUCACUUUACUCAUAAUGCUUAGGUUGAUGAGUACAAAUUUUUUCAGUCAUUUAGUUCAAUUUUAUUGUAAUGUUCUGUAAUCUAUCAUUAGGAUUAAUGGUUUUGCUGUUCUUAAGGAAAAUGACUACUCUGAUACAGGGAGUGAGUAAAGUCAUGUGUUUUGGAAUUUCAAUGUGUUCGGAUGAUCGUAGACUUGGAUUAUUGAAGGGUAGAUGGCAGGGGAAGAGGAAGCGAAGUUCAAAUUACAGACAUGGGCACCACAAAUGAUGUUAUUAUCAUUAAUGGAUUAUCUUUUGAAUCCCAUUGUAAUGAUUGAGAAACGUUCAUCUAGCAAAGAAUUUUGCCAAAUUAUCAGCAUUUAGAAAGUUAGAAAAAUGGAAUAACUAAACUUGGUAGGAAGAACUAAACUUUUUGUCAAUGAUGCAACAUAGACAGUACACGGGAAAAAUUAUUGUUUAGUUUUAAUUUUUGAACUAUAUAGCCAAAUAGUCCACUUUUUAAACUA